UUCUUAUCAUCAUCUCCAUCAUGAACCACCGCUAACAUCCAUGGAACCAUGGCCGACCUUGUUACUGUUGUGAUCCCCUCAUGUUCAGCCCUGCGGCUCCCGACUUCUCAUGAGGACUUGCAGACCAUCAAUGAAGAUUGUUGAGCAGGCUGUUGAAAAUAAGCCAAGCUUUAGAGCAUCAUUAAUUGCUUCGUCUGCACUUCCAUGGCUACCUUGUCAACGUACUUUCUUGGGCCUAUAAGCUCAGAGCCCAACAGAUCAUUGAAAUCCUUGGCUUCUAACUCGCUAUCAAGCCCACCCAGAAGGUCUCAAGCAUCUUAUGAAUCAUGAAUGUCUUAUGUUUAUUUUACUUGCACAAAAACAUGUUGCUGUAGUUGAAGCUUCCUCUUGAGAGAUUGAAGGUGAAAGCUCUAUCAUGACAGACAUUUGCUUCUCAAUUGGUCGUGGUUAGACUCUCAGGGCUGUGAUGGUUCAGUUCUUUUAGACAAUACCCCUGACUUUACUGGGGAGAAGACGGUAAGUGCCAACAGAAAUUCCAUUAGAGGCUUCAAGGUAAAUAGAUGAUCAAGGAGAAUCCGGAUUUACUUCUCAUGUUCUCCAUGCACAGCUAAAAGCGCUGUGAGGUUGGUGUGAGGCACGCUAUGUGGUAGAUCGUGAUUCUGUUUCUGCUGUAAGUAUCCAUGGACCAAAAAUACUUGUAUAUGAGACCUAGUAAUUUCAAUGGUGCAGUUGUGCAAGAUCCGCAGGCUCCCAUUCUCGGUCCAAAAGCCCCUAACCAGGCUGGGCGUGUUGGUUUACUCUACUUUUCUUCUUUGUUAAUUUCAGGAGUGGCCAUUCUUGAUCCAGAAAAAUACAGUAGUCCAGCAAAAUUGCUUACUUCCUGA